rnacentral:rRNA from 1 species
AGAGUUUGAUUAUGGCUCAGGACGAACGCUGGCGGCAUGCCUAACACAUGCAAGUCGAACGGGAGUGCGGCGCAAGUCGUACUCUAGUGGCGAACGGGUGAGUAACACGUGAGCAACCUGCCUUGUACAACUGGAUACCACUAAGAAAUUAGUGCUAAUACAGUAUAUGACCACACCGAGACAUCUCGGAGGGGUGAAAGCGAUAGCGGUACAAGAUGGGCUCGCGUCCAAUUAGCUAGUUGGUGAGAUAACAGCCCACCAAGGCGACGAUUGGUAGCCGACUUGAGAGAGUGAUCGGCCACACUGGAACUGAGACACGGUCCAGACUCCUACGGGAGGCAGCAGUGGGGAAUAUUGGGCAAUGGAGGAAACUCUUACCCAGACCAAUGCCGCGUGAGUGAAUGAAGGUCUUCGGAUUGUAAAGCUCUUUGAUUGGGGACGAAUAAAUGACGGUACCCAAGGAACAAGCCCCGGCUAACUAUGUGCCAGCAGCCGC